rnacentral:tRNA from 1 species
GGUUCCAUGGUGUAGUGGUUAGCACUCAGGACUCUGAAUCCUGCGNCCCGAGUUCAAAUCUCGGUGGGACCU